AGAGUUUGAUCCUGGCUCAGGACGAACGCUGGCGGCGUGCUUAACACAUGCAAGUCGAACGAAGAGCGAUGGAAGCUUGCUUCUAUCAAUCUUAGUGGCGAACGGGUGAGUAACGCGUAAUCAACCUGCCCUUCAGAGGGGGACAACAGUUGGAAACGACUGCUAAUACCGCAUACGAUCCAAUCUCGGCAUCGGGACUGGAUGAAAGGUGGCCUCUAUUUAUAAGCUAUCACUGAAGGAGGGGAUUGCGUCUGAUUAGCUAGUUGGAGGGGUAACGGCCCACCAAGGCGAUGAUCAGUAGCCGGUCUGAGAGGAUGAACGGCCACAUUGGGACUGAGACACGGCCCAGACUCCUACGGGAGGCAGCAGUGGGGAAUCUUCCGCAAUGGACGAAAGUCUGACGGAGCAACGCCGCGUGAGUGAUGACGGCCUUCGGGUUGUAAAGCUCUGUUAAUCGGGACGAAUGGUUCUUGUGCGAAUAGUGCGAGGAUUUGACGGUACCGGAAUAGAAAGCCACGGCUAACUACGUGCCAGCAGCCGCGGU
rnacentral:rRNA from 1 species